GUUCCCUCACAGCCUUCCUACCCCUACUUUUUAAUGGGUAGUACAGAAACCAGAUCAAUAUCUGAAGCCUGCAGCUGAGGUAAGAACAUUUAAAAGAAAAAUACUGCGAAGACUGAGAACAAAAUGUCCUUUUGCCUUCAGAUGCAUGAGACCAUCAGGUCCAGAGGCUUCAGGACAAAAUAGGAGAGAUAGAGGACAUGUUUAAGAAGAAAAAGAACCCGAAGGCAGUCUAUGUUCAUGGCCAUUCUUACAGAAAAUAUCCAGGCUGAGAGAUUCUGUCUGCUUCCUCAUGCUGCAGUGGAGGCACAAUGAAAUAUACCUGUAAUCUUUGGACAAGCACAGGCCACUGUUACCACCACAGGAACAGCUUUAAGAGAAGUGUCCAGUUUGCCACAGCCAGUACCACCAUUUGCCGAGAAUGUACCGUCAGAGGCCCCGGAGAGCUGUGCUUCCCUCGAGGAGUGUGGUGUGUUAGUGAUGAACAGGGCUGUUUCACUAGGUUGCUAUAUAAAGGUAAGGAGUGCUUUCUUUUUGUUCCAGUUCCUCAAUCCCAAGGCAUAACGAAUGAUGUGGCUCCUGUGUCUUUUGUGUUUGUGCAGAAGAAAGAAUGCGCCAUGAAGCGUCAAGCCCCAGUGAAUAUGUCUGUCUUUUAGAGGCUGAGAAAGUUUCCACCGGUUUUAUUUUCACAAAGUUAUGGGUCCUUAAAGAGGCAAAUAGAAGGGGAAGAUAUGGAGGCAGUGACAGAUUUUACUUUCUUGGGCUCCAGCCACAAAAUUAAAAGACACUUGCUUCUUGAGAGGAAAGCAAUGACAAACAUAGACAGCAUCUUAAAAAGCAGAGACAACACGUUGCUGACAAAGGUCCG
rnacentral:lncRNA from 1 species